GUCAGAGAUGAUUUCUAAGGAGAGAAUUCCAGAAUGUGGGGCCUAGAUUCCUGAAGGUUACCCCUGCCAAUAUUAGUGUGAAGAGUGGGAUGCAAGAGAGGAGUCUCCCUGUCUGAUCAAAUAGUGUCAACGAAUCUUAACUCCUACCUACACCAGUGGAUUAGGAAGACGUGCCUAACAUCUAAAGGACAGCCCUCGAGCAAGAGUGGACAAUUUUGGGUCGCAGCUUCUCAAACACCUGCCAUCAUCGCUGCUGUUUGCCAGGCUGAUAGAAGAUGAACGUCUGAGAUGGUUGCUGCACACUCCAUUGAAGAGUGCCACAAUUCUGCUAACCAUUAAAUCUUAUAGUGCAUCCUUUCUACCUGCUCCACCCAUGGAAAAUUGGUGGGAGAGAAAAACAAUGCCUAAAAUUGCAUAUGAUACAGAAAUGUCAUUUGGCCAGACACCACAAAGUAAGUCAUGGAAAUACUAAGCAAGAGCUUAAAGUUAUUCCAGGCAAAGCCACAAGGGGAAAAAGUCAGUGUCAUUGAGGUGUUUGAUUUGCCAAUUUAUACUGAAUUAUAUAACCAAGGAUGUCACUUGUAAAGCUGCAUCACCAACUUGAGGUGAUCUUGAUAUACUGUAUUAUCAAGGACCUAGAGCUGUUUUAAAACCUUGGCCAGAAGAUGUAUUUGUUGGGCAGCUAUGCUGCUGUCUGCCAAAAUACUGGAAUCAAUUGAGAUCUGUGUGACAUGGAUAUUAAGGCUAUCAGCUUUGAAGUUUUUUUGGAAGAGAUGAAGGCUGACUUUCAAACUGAACAUUGCACUAGAUUGAGAGUAACCUGAGCAGACUUAAACUGAUGAGAACAGCUUCAGUUUUUUUGCUUCGUCCACUGCAAAGUGGAGGAGGUGCAUAUUUCCAGCCAUGGUAUCUUUUUUGUUUGAAAUGCUAGCAAUUAACCAUAGAACAGUGGAGUGCAGUAACAAGUGUCUGAAUAUGGAGUGGGUUACACAACAUCCCAAGCUCUCUAGGCCAAAGUAUGAAGCCAUCUGUACCAGUAACGGCAGACCACACCCAGCAAGUGCACAAAACUGCUCCUUUUUCAAGAUUGUCAGACAUCCAUAAGACAAAUCUAGCCUGCAAGAAGCAUGAAAUUAGACCUAUGCAAAGAGUGACUGUCAAAGAACCUGAUUACAGUUAGAUCUUGGACAAGAACAUCAACAAGCAGCAUCAAUGAAAUCCUCACCACUGUCUGCCAAUAUCUAAGCUGGGACUUGCUCCCUCUCACCUUGAGGGUGCUAUCAUGCAUUAUGAUUGAAGUAUGUACUGACAAUCAAACAAUGCCUUAUGUUGCUAGUGAUUCCAUGUAGAUCACUAAUCUGUAACAAAUGAAGUCAUUACUUAUUGAACAAGGCAGCUAGAACAAUUUCCUCAGUCCAGCAAAAGCUGGCUAAUCCAACAUUGCUGUAAUUCAGGAAAAUGGGUUGGGCAAUGAGAUGGAGCAGUUUCUUGAUGCAGUGUAAAAUCGGCACUGCUUGUAGAAUGGAAUAUGUGAAUCUUUGAAUUAUUAAGCACUAAGUGUUUACUGUUCAGGGACUUUUGCACCUUGAACUUGCCCAAAAGAGCACUCCAAUUUGCAACAACAUGCUAAUCCUGGAAGGAUUCAAUGCAAAGCAACCUGUAAGGCUGUAUUAACAGUACAUAAAUGGGCUGCUGAAUGUAACCAAUAUUCUUGGUUACAGUAUCAUGACCAUGGCAGCAACUUCAAUUCCUGUGACCUGUUUGACUUGACCAUUGUCCUGCUAGCUGCAGCCAGCAUAUGCCUUUGAGGAUGUGGAGAAUUACUUUUACCAACCAUCUCCCUACCUAACUGCAACCUUUCUGUAUGUGAAACCAAAUCAAGAAAUUGAACUGAGUAUAGAAAGUGGAGCAUUAUGAAUGAAUUUAAUUGGAGCUCUCAAAAUAUUGAGCACAACCCCUGCAAGAGAAGAUUGAAGAACUGUGUGCAAAUGUCCUAGCCCAACUAAUUACUUCAGUGGACUCCAAGUAAGGCUAUGCAAGAAAAGGUGGCAUCACCUGUCAUGACAGCUCCAACUGGUCAAAUGUUGUACAAACCAAACCAAAAUUUCUUAAGCCAGUAAUUACUGGGUCAUUAUUAGCAUAUUGAGUUGGCUUAAUGUUUCCAGCAUCACCUUCAAAAUAUUGGCUGCUUGAAUUCAACUGAAGCAGGGUUGGGAGAGGAAGAAACACCAACUUGUUACAGCCAUCAGCACAUCUUCCAAACCAUUUUGAGUGGUAUACCUGUUUGACAUAAAGACUUUUUUUGAAGUUUGACACAAUGUACUAUGAGAACUCUGAGCUGGUUCAGUUGGUGCCAAAUUGCUUGAUGCAGCCUACCUGCUGUUACUGAACAUUGACAGUUUCCAAAUUUUGCCCAAAUGCAGACCUUCUGCCUUCAUCCCAGGCUGUUCUUAGCUUGCUAUCUGCCCAAUACCGAAUGACUUUCCAGUUUUUUGCAUAGUCAGCCACAGACUCUGGAUAAUACAGGCACAUAAUGCUCUCUAUGCUGUGCUCAAGCCUGACAUCUGGGUUUCAAGCAAUGAAAAAAAAUGUUUUGGGGUUGAAGUACUUGCACAAAGCAAAGAAAAAUACUAAUUAAGGAACCAGGUACAGAACCCAUCUCUGUGCAUUUGCAACACUACAUAGCUGUGGACCUGUAAUGUACAGAAUGUUAGUAACAUUGAAAUGCCCUAUGUAUCCAAAGUGUCCAGAUAACUUGGAAAUGUGAACAGGAGGAAAUAGUAAAACUUCAGAAUAGCAUAGGCUGGUGAAAUGGGCAGAAAUGUGCUCUAUGAUUUGAUGCAGAGAUGCAUUUUGGUAAGAAGAAUGUGGAAAGUGAUAUAAACUAAAUGGGGUGGAGAAGUAGGGACACCUGGGAAUGGUUACACCAUGUUGGCUGUUCUAUAAAAAGUCUACAGAAUCCUAUGCCUGUUUUUAAAGCCAAGAGUGCAAAAUCAAGAAAUUCACACUAAUUUCUUUUGUCAAUCAUGGGUUAGGCUGCAGUUGUAAUAUUGCAUCCAAUUCUAGAACCACCUUUUAGGAAGGAUGUCAAGGCCUUGAAGGGUGCAGAGGAGGUUGAUUAUAGAAUGGUACAAAGGAUGCACGACUUAAGUUACAUAGAGAGACUAAAGCAGCUGAAGUUGCCCUUAGAGCAGUGAAGAUUAAAGGAGGGUUUAAUAAAGGCACUCUAUCAUGAAUGGUUUUAAGAGCUGAUGGGGUGAAACUGCUUUCACGAGCAGAAAGGGUAGUAACCAGCGUAUUUAAGCUAACAGGCAAAAGAAUGUGAUAAUUUUCCAGUGCAGCAAAUUAUGAUGUGGCAUGCACUACCUGAAAAGGUGGUGGAAGCGGAUUCAAUUUUCAGAAUUAGAUUAUAUAAAAAAAAACUUGCAAUUUCCUAGCACCUUUCAUAACAAUGUGCUAAGGAAGCACUUAAGUGUCGACACUAAUGUAGAAAAUACUUAAGUUGUAGGUGAUUAACCAGCUUGACUGCAGUUGUACUUAGUCCAAACUCAGUUUAAAACACCUGAUCUCAUUUAUUUGAGCACUCAGUUCAAAAAUGUUGCUGUCGACUUUAUCCAUUCUUCUGAAAAGUUCCUGGUUAAUUUCUAAUCUUGCCUAUGAGCUUGAAAACAUUUUUAGAUGACUCCCAAGUUUUCUUUCCUGUUCAAACACCCCAAAGAUACAAGGCAGUGAACUUGAGCAUUUUGUGGGGAAAAUCAUGAGCACAGGUCUGAACCCUUGCUCAGACAGUACAUAGAAGCACUGGUACACCAACCACGCCGAGCUUGCAGCAUGCAGCAAUAAUUGAAUUUUGCUCUGCUUAGAGGCAGCAGAGUUUACACUGGAAUGAGGGAAUCAAUCCCAUGUUGGUGGUCUUGUUCUCCAGUUGCUUUUUACUGUAGUGUGAAAUGUUGAAAUGGCUUAAUAGACUCUGACGUCGACUGUUUUCUACAUAUAGUGAAAGUGGCAGAAGCAAAAUUGGAAAUGAGGUAACAGCAUGCUUGGUCUGCAUGUGCACAGUGCUGAUUGGCCAAUGAGUCCCUGGUGAAUCUAUGAUAAUUAACUUUAAAGACUUAGCAUUACAUUCCUUGAAUUUGUAAAUUCUGAACCUUUUAUCCAUCUUAUUGCAUAUUGUGGAAACCUGAAUUUCUUGAAUGUGGAAUACAAGGAUCAGGAAAUCAUUGCUCUCUGACCAGACCUAAAGUUUAAAAGUACCAUUCUCUUUAUUUCAAGCUGUUCAACUUGUUUUCUCUGAAUCUCUUGUCUCUUGAGCUGUGCCUGCACUGUCAAAUCUACUCUAAGUAUUAUAGCUAAAUAUAAACUCAAUUUGAGCUGCAUACACACUCUCUUCCCUUGUGGAGAAUCUUGCAGAUGGUACAUUUGGAUAUACUGGAUGCACCAUCUCUGCAAGUUUGCUUUGAACCUUAUGACUGAACUGGUAUCUUGCAUGCCAUCUGAAGUUUAUUUUAGAUGUUUACUUGUAGCUCAACAGAGAACUUAAGCACAUAAUCUAGGCUGAGACUCCAGUGUAUUACUGAAGGGGUGCUGCACUGUUGAAGAUGUAGUAAUUUGGAUCGUUCUGCCCUUUCAGGUAGAUGUAAAAGAUCCCAGCACACUAUUUUGAAGAGCAGGGGAGUUCCCCCUGGUGUCCUUCCAUUUGUUCCUUAACAUUUUUUUUAGAACAACUUGAUUUAUUUUGCCAUUAACUAAUUGUUUUAAGAUUUGUUUGCAAAUUCCCACAUUUCCUUCAUGACAGUGCUUUAAGUACUUUAUUGACUGUAAAAUGUUUUGGGGAUUCCUGAAGGUGUGAAAGGCAAGUAUUUUUUACAAAAUUUAAAAUCAGAUUAUAUAUAGAAUAUGGGAGUGUUGGCUUUAUAUAAAUACUGCAAUUUUAACAUAACCCAUACUUUCAAAUAUUUAAUCAGUAAUUGGUCGAGUGCAGUAGUUUUUCCCUCUAAAUAGCAUGGGGUGCUCGACACAUUAUCUUAGAUAAAUUCCAGCUGCUGGAGUAGAAAUGGAAAAUCCAUUUAAUGUCAUCCUAAAUAAACUGCUUGCUAAUUAAGCAUUUUCUCUACCUAAUGAAUUGUUCAAAUGGCAGAUUUUUCUUGCACCAACAUUCCAGCAAAAAAGGUCUGGCAGUAAAAGGUUCUGUUAUUUUAUUUAUCAGGUUUGUAACUGGCAUAAGGAAUUUUUGUGAUCUCAUUUUACAAUGUUUAAUUCUUAAGCUGUCUGUCUUAUUUCAAUGCAAGCUGUGGAUGAUGCUCAGUAAUGUUUUGUAAAGGAGUCUUAACGAAGCUGCAAGCUGAAGUUGAACAGGUUUUUUGUUGGCGAUGGCAAGAUGACAUGUAAAAUUACCCAGUGAUGUUUGCUGAGAUGUCAUGGGGAAACCAAAGCAGCAGCCUGUGCUGUUAAAGAGCAAAUUGCUCAGCAGGUCAAGUAGCAUCUGUAGACAAAUAAAUGACAUUUCUAGU